rnacentral:rRNA from 1 species
GACGAACGCUGGCGGCGUGCUUAACACAUGCAAGUCGAACGGAAAGGCCCUGCUUUUGUGGGGUGCUCGAGUGGCGAACGGGUGAGUAACACGUGAGUAACCUGCCCUUGACUUUGGGAUAACUUCAGGAAACUGGGGCUAAUACCGGAUAGGAGCUCCUGCUGCAUGGUGGGGGUUGGAAAGUUUCGGCGGUUGGGGAUGGACUCGCGGCUUAUCAGCUUGUUGGUGGGGUAGUGGCUUACCAAGGCUUUGACGGGUAGCCGGCCUGAGAGGGUGACCGGCCACAUUAGGACUGAGAUACGGCACAGACUCCUACGGGAGGCAGCAGUGGGGAAUAUUACACAAUGGGCGGAAGCCUGAUGCAGCAGAGCCGCGUGCGGGAUGACGGCCUUCGGGUUGUAAACCGCUUUCGCCUGUGACGAAGCGUGAGUGACGGUAAUGGGUAAAGAAGCACCGGCUAACUACGUG